CAAUUUGAAAUUUUGGACGCAGAGAACCCAUUUCCGAACCUAUCCCGCUCUCGCAGCCCCCUCCCUCCCUCCCUCUCGUCGCCCAGCACCCUCGAGCGUCGAUGUCCCUGUCGUUUCCCAGCACUGGCAACUCAUCGGCCUACCUCUGCCCACGCCACCCAUCCUGUUUUCCCCACAGACCAUUUCGAACUAGAGGGAGGAGUUCACGGGAACCACUCGUCGCCUGCCUUCUCCCAUCGCCACCCAUUCAGUUAAGGAGGUAGUUGGAGAAAUCGAGGAUACCUUAUUUGUGGCGAACUGUUGUUGUGCCGUGAGUUGUUGUGGGUGGGGGUAGCGAGAGAGAGAGAGAACGAAGCGAAGCUGUUGAGCCGCACGUCCGCUUGCGUUGCUGACUUACUCGUAGUCUUAUAGUUGGUAGUUUGGAACAAAUAUUUCGCAAGGAGGGGUUUCGAGGCAUGUACUGUGGGCUCUCACCCACUGUGCUGGCAUUACUUCCUAACUAGGCUAAAAGUCAUAAACAAAUUCUGGAUGUGCCUAGUUUGCAUAUGGCAUUCCCAUUUCACAUCUUAGAGUUGAGAGAUGAUAGUUCAUCAUCAAUGCAGUAAAUUUGUUCAAAAAAUUUUGCUUGAGAGAUGAGAAGGUUGAUGAUGUCGGGCCGAGUAGUUGAAAUGUGUCUACUUACUAGUUGUAAAAAAAUACAGUUGUUGUGAGACCUCAAUUACUUGUAAAAAAAAGCAUCACUCUAUUUAUUAGUUGAUGAAAUGUGUCUCUAAA